GAUGAACGCUGGCGGCGUGCCUAAUACAUGCAAGUCGAGCGAACGGACGAGAAGCUUGCUUCUCUGAUGUUAGCGGCGGACGGGUGAGUAACACGUGGAUAACCUACUAUAAGACUGGGAUAACUUCGGGAAACCGGAGCUAAUACCGGAUAAUAUUUUGAACCGCAUGGUUCAAAAGUGAAAGACGGUCUUGCUGUCACUUAUAGAUGGAUCCGCGCUGCAUUAGCUAGUUGGUAAGGUAACGGCUUACCAAGGCAACGAUGCAUAGCCUACCUGAGAGGGUGAUCGGCCACACUGGAGCUGAGACACGGUCCAGACUCCUACGGGAGGCAGCAGUAGGGAAUCUUCCGCAAUGGGCGAAAGCCUGACGGAGCAACGCCGCGUGAGUGAUGAAGGUCUUCGGAUCGUAAAACUCUGUUAUUAGGGAAGAACAUAUGUGUAAGUAACUGUGCACAUCUUGACGGUACCUAAUCAGAAAGCCACGGCUAACUACGUG
rnacentral:rRNA from 1 species